GUCUAUAUAGAUUAUUUUUAAAUCGUGAUGCUGUUAACUUCAGGAAAUGGUUGUAUUCCAUUAUAGUCG
rnacentral:tRNA from 1 species